AUUGAACGCUGGCGGAAUGCUUUACACAUGCAAGUCGAACGGCAGCACGGGAGCUUGCUCCUGGUGGCGAGUGGCGAACGGGUGAGUAACAUAUCGGAACGUACCCAGUCGUGGGGGAUAACUAUCCGAAAGGAUAGCUAAUACCGCAUACGUCCUGAGGGAGAAAGCGGGGGAUCGCAAGACCUCGCGCGAUUGGAGCGGCCGAUAUCGGAUUAGCUAGUUGGUGGGGUAAAGGCUCACCAAGGCGACGAUCCGUAGCGGGUCCGAGAGGACGACCCGCCACACUGGAACUGAGACACGGUCCAGACUCCUACGGGAGGCAGCAGUGGGGAAUUUUGGACAAUGGGGGCAACCCUGAUCCAGCCAUUCCGCGUGAGUGAAGAAGGCCUUCGGGUUGUAAAGCUCUUUCAGCAGGAACGAAACGGUCGGCUUUAAUAAAGUCGGCUAAUGACGGUACCUGCAGAAGAAGCACCGGCUAACUACGUG
rnacentral:rRNA from 1 species